UAAUAAUUAAUGUUUGAGCACCCAAGGGAUACCUAGGCAUAAGAAGAUAAGAGACGUCGCGCGACGAAACGUCAUAUGUAGGUAUAGACCUGUAAUAUAUGAAUUUCUCUAUGAGUAAGAACUCCUUAUUAUUGAGUUCAAACAACUUGGCAAAUUGAAACAUCUUAGUAGCCAGAGGAAAAGGAACCAAACGGGAUACCGCUAGUAGUGGCGAGCGAACACGGUGUAUAGGCUUGCCAUAUCUUUGUAUAAGCACGAAACAGCCGUAGAAGGUAGAAGCCCUGUAGCGCUUAUAAUUAUGGCUUCACAGUAAUAUGGAAACACAUAUUUCUUUAGGAAAUUGGGAGAUCCAUCUUCCGGGUCUAAAUACUUCUUAUGUUCGAUAGUGAACGAGUACCGUGAGGGAAAGGUGGAAAGUUAAGGUGUAUACCUGGUUUUGAUCUUGAAAUUGGGUGCUCACAAUCAGUUGAAGCUCCGUUUAGAGUGACAACGUACCUUUUGUAUAAUGGGUCAGCGACUGAAUAAAUAUAGCGAGCUUAAAUUAUUAAAUGGAAGCUGAAUUAUAAUAAGAAAACCUUGAUAAGUUAUAUUUAUUCGACUCGAAUCUGAAGUGAUCUAAUCUAGAGCAGACUGAUAUUGUGGUAACACACGAUGGAAGGUCGAACCCGUAUAUGUGGAAAAAUAUUGGGAUGACUCUUGAUUAGGAGUGAAAGGCUAAUCAAACUCAGUGAUAGCUAGCUCUCUGCGAAAUCUAUUUUAGUAGAGUCUUUCAUAUUAUGUUAUUGUAGGUAUAGCACUGGAUAGGUAAGGGUGGCUUAUGCCUGACUAAACUUAACUAAACUUAUAAUUACAAAUAAGUAAAUGAAGGAAACAGACUAUGGGCGAUAAGGUCCAUGGUCAAGAGGGAAAUAACCCAGAUCGUUCAUUAAGGUCCCUAAGGAUAUACAAGUUUAUAAGGCAGCUAAUGCAUAACAAGAUAGUGAGUAGGCUUAGAAGCAGCCAUCUAUUAAAGAACGCGUUAUAGCGCACUACUUUAUGUUUUUUGCGCCAAAAAUUUAAAGGGAAUAAAUAUAUUCACCGAAAUGACGACUUCCACUAUCUAUUCGUGUGGAAGGAUAGCAGAGCAUCCUGUUUGCAAUAAAGAGUGUAUCUGAAAAGAUAUAUAUUAAUAUCAGGAGUGAGAAUGCUGAUAUGAGUAGCGAAAACCAUGUUAGAAAAUCAUGGUCACCGAAAACCCAAGGGUUUGUACGUACUUUCAACUGCGUGCAGUUAGUCAGCCUCUAAGGUAUAGGUGAAAAUCUAGUACCAAUGAGUAAACCAAGCAAUUUUGGUAACCAUAUAUGGACAUCGUUAAUUUCAAUUUACGAGACGGAGUAUUACUAAAAACUUUUAAUUAUGGCAUUUUAUUUGCUUUUUUUGUAUUCCCAGGAAAAAACCAUGUAUUUUAACUGUAGGUCGCUUUGUACUAAGAGAUCUACAGUUAUAUUUGGCUGUACCCUAAACCGACGCAGGUGGGUUGGUCGAAUAGACCGAGGUGUGUGGGUGAAUCAUAUUGAAGGAACUCGGCAAAUUGACCCCGUAAGUUCGCAAGAAGGGGUAUCACUCAUGUGAUGGUACAAAAUGAGAGCGGCGACUGUUUAUUAAAAACACAAGACUUUGCCAACUCUUUUAGAGAAUGUAUAAGGUUUGACGUUUGCCAGGUGCUUGAAGGUUAAGAGGCUAGGUAGAAGCCUAUGCCAAAAGCCCAAGUAAACGGCGGUCCUAACUAUAAGGAUCCUAAGGUAGCGUAACCCACUGGCGUAUAAUUUACGUCCUGCAUGAAUAACGUAACGACCGCUCUGCUGUCUCCAAUAUGACCCCAGCGAAAUUGAAUUCUCCGUGAAGAUGCGGAGUACUUGCAGUCAGACGGAAAGACCCCGUGAUUCUUUACUAUAAUCUUGUAUUGUGGUCUCUAUUUAAUUGUGUAGAAUAGGUGGGAACUAAUUCUUAAGUUCUUUUUUAGGAUAAUUAAGUCUAGUGCCUGUGAAAUACCACCCUUUUCUUUUUAGGCCACUUAUUCAUACUAUAAGUGUUGAAAACAGUGUAAGAUUGGUAGUUUAUUUGGGGCGAAUACCUCCUAAAUAGUAACGGAGGUGCGCGAAGGUAAACUUAUAUUCGUCAGAAAUGAAUUGUAAAGUGUAAUGGCGUAAGUUUGCUUAACGGUAAGAUCUAUAAAUUGAACCGAGACGAAAGUCGGCCAUAGUGAUCCGAUGGUCUUUCAUGGAAAGCCAUCGCUCAACAGAUAAAAGAAACUCCGGGGAUAACAGCGUUAUCGUCCCUAAGAGCUCCUAUCGACGGGACGGUUUGCGACCUCGAUGUCGGCUCAUCAUAUCCUGGGGCUGCAGUAGGUCCCAAGGGUCCGGGUGUUCACCGGUUAAAAUGGUACGUGAGCUGGGUUUAAAACGUCGUGAGACAGUUUGGUCCCUAUCUGCUGUAAGCUUAGAAGAUUGCAGAACACCGCUCUUAGUACGAGAGGAUUGGAGUGGAUUAGCCUCUGGUGUAUUAGCUGUCCAGGUUAGGGCAACACUAAGUAGCUACGCUAGUAAAGCAUAAGCACUGAAAGAAUCUAAGUGCGAAAGCUUUUCUAAGAUAAAUCUUCGAUAGUACUCUAAAAGACGAUUAGAUGGAUCGGUCUAGUAUAAAUGAUUUGUAAAAGUCUAGGUAUAUAGAUACGAAUUUACUAAUAAAUUUUUAAAUCAUGUCCAAAAACGGAUUUACCGUUUUUGGAUAUAUCAUAAG
rnacentral:rRNA from 1 species